rnacentral:rRNA from 1 species
AACGAACGCUGGCGGCAUGCCUAACACAUGCAAGUCGAACGAGACCUUCGGGUCUAGUGGCGCACGGGUGCGUAACGCGUGGGAACCUGCCCUUAGGUUCGGAAUAACUCCCCGAAAGGGGUGCUAAUACCGGAUAAUGUCUUCGAACCAAAGAUUUAUCGCCUUUGGAUGGGCCCGCGUUGGAUUAGUUAGUUGGUAGGGUAAAAGCCUACCAAGGCGACGAUCCAUAGCUGGUCUGAGAGGAUGAUCAGCCACACUGGGACUGAGACACGGCCCAGACUCCUACGGGAAGCAGCAGUGGGGAAUAUUGGACAAUGGGCGAAAGCCUGAUCCAGCAAUGCCGCGUGAGUGAUGAAGGCCUUAGGGUUGUAAAGCUCUUUUACCCGGGAUGAUAAUGACAGUACCGGGAGAAUAAGCUCCGGCUAACUCCGUG